UACGAAGGGGGCUAGCGUUGCUCGGAAUCACUGGGCGUAAAGCGCACGUAGGCGGCUUCUUAAGUCAGGGGUGAAAUCCUGGAGCUCAACUCCAGAACUGCCUUUGAUACUGAGGAGCUUGAGUCCGGGAGAGGUGAGUGGAACUGCGAGUGUAGAGGUGAAAUUCGUAGAUAUUCGCAAGAACACCAGUGGCGAAGGCGGACUCACUGGCCCGGUACUGACGCUGAGGUGGCGAAAGCGUGGGGAG
rnacentral:rRNA from 1 species